rnacentral:rRNA from 1 species
AUUGAACGCUGGCGGCAGGCCUAACACAUGCAAGUCGAGCGGAAACGAUCCUAGCUUGCUAGGAGGCGUCGAGCGGCGGACGGGUGAGUAAUGCAUAGGAAUCUGCCCGGUAGUGGGGGAUAACCUGGGGAAACCCAGGCUAAUACCGCAUACGUCCUACGGGAGAAAGCAGGGGAUCUUCGGACCUUGCGCUAUCGGAUGAGCCUAUGUCGGAUUAGCUAGUUGGUGAGGUAAUGGCUCACCAAGGCUGCGAUCCGUAGCUGGUCUGAGAGGAUGAUCAGCCACAUCGGGACUGAGACACGGCCCGAACUCCUACGGGAGGCAGCAGUGGGGAAUAUUGGACAAUGGGCGAAAGCCUGAUCCAGCCAUGCCGCGUGUGUGAAGAAGGCCUUCGGGUUGUAAAGCACUUUCAGUGAGGAAGAAGGCCUUGAGGUUAAUACCCUCGAGGAAGGACAUCACUCACAGAAGAAGCACCGGCUAACUCCGUGCCAGCCGCCGCCGUAACAC